CGCGGGGUGGAGGAGUAGUACCUCACAAGGCUCAUAACCUUGAGGCGCCGGUGCAAUUCCGGCCCCCGCAA
rnacentral:tRNA from 1 species